rnacentral:misc_RNA from 1 species
UUUUCAGUUUCUAGUAAAACAUUGCAUGUCUUGCAUGUCUUCUCCAAUUUCCAAUUUCCAAUACAAUCACGGUUAUAUUAGCCAUAAACUUAUUGUAUUUCUUGAGAUUUUUUUCUUUAAUUAAUAAGACACAUGAAAACUCGAUGGAACUUGUUUCUACUGGGAAAUAGUUUCAUCUGAAUGUCAAGAGUGUAGCGCUGGUUAGACAUUAUUUGAGCUUUUGAAAUCUGUACGUGGCCGAAAAAUAAAGGAAAAACCAUGGAGAUGCUUUUAUUUUCUAAUUUGAUGAAUCUCAACUAAAUUUCCCAACUCCCUGUGGUUGUCCUUUGAAGGGAAAAUGCUGCUGAUGUGAAG